rnacentral:rRNA from 1 species
GAUGAACGCUGACAGAAUGCUUAACACAUGCAAGUCUUUGGCGAAUCUGUGCUUGCACCGGCUAGCCAAGGCGGACGGGUGAGUAACGCGUAAAGAACUUGCCCUGCAGACAGGGAUAACAGACGGAAACGACUGAUAACACCUGAUACAGUUGCCGGCACGCAUGUGCCUGGCAAUGAAAAGAGAUGCUGCAGGAGAGCUUUGUGUCCUAUUAGCUUGUUGGUGAGGUGACGGCUCACCAAGGCGAUGAUAGGUAGCCGGCCUGAGAGGGUGAACGGCCACAAGGGGACUGAGAUACGGCCCUUACUCCUACGGGAGGCAGCAGUGGGGAAUAUUGGACAAUGGGGGCAACCCUGAUCCAGCAAUUCUGUGUGCACGAAGAAGGUUUUCGGAUUGUAAAGUGCUUUCAGCAGGGAAGAAGAAAGUGACGGUACCUGCAGAAGAAGCGACGGCUAAAUACGUG